AUUGAACGCUAGCGGGAUGCUUUACACAUGCAAGUCGAACGGCAGCGCGGACUUCGGUCUGGCGGCGAGUGGCGAACGGGUGAGUAAUGUAUCGGAACGUUCCCAGUAGCGGGGGAUAACUACGCGAAAGCGUAGCUAAUACCGCAUACGCCCUACGGGGGAAAGCAGGGGAUCGUAAGACCUUGCACUAUUGGAGCGGCCGAUAUCGGAUUAGCUAGUUGGUGAGGUAACGGCUCACCAAGGCGACGAUCCGUAGCUGGUUUGAGAGGACGACCAGCCACACUGGGACUGAGACACGGCCCAGACUCCUACGGGAGGCAGCAGUGGGGAAUUUUGGACAAUGGGGGCAACCCUGAUCCAGCCAUCCCGCGUGUGCGAUGAAGGCCUUCGGGUUGUAAAGCACUUUUGGCAGGAAAGAAACGUCGCGGGCUAAUACCCCGUGGAACUGACGGUACCUGCAGAAUAAGCACCGGCUAACUACGUG
rnacentral:rRNA from 1 species